rnacentral:rRNA from 1 species
CCACGGAAGUUUUCAGAGAUGAGAAUGUGCCUUCGGGAACCGUGAGACAGGUGCUGCAUGGCUGUCGUCAGCUCGUGUUGUGAAAUGUUGGGUUAAGUCCCGCAACGAGCGCAACCCUUAUCCUUUGUUGCCAGCGGUCCGGCCGGGAACUCAAAGGAGACUGCCAGUGAUAAACUGGAGGAAGGUGGGGAUGACGUCAAGUCAUCAUG